rnacentral:rRNA from 1 species
GACGAAGGGGGCUAGCGUUGUUCGGAAUUACUGGGCGUAAAGCGCGUGUAGGCGGUUGUUCAAGUCGGGUGUGAAAGCCUUGAGCUCAACUCAAGAAAUGCACUCGAUACUGGAUGACUUGAGGACCGGAGAGGAUAGUGGAAUUCCCAGUGUAGUGGUGAAAUACGUAGAGAUUGGGAAGAACACCAGUGGCGAAGGCGGCUAUCUGGACGGUGACUGACGCUGAGACGCGAAAGCGUGGGGAGCAAACAGG